AGAACGACCAUUGGCAAUCCGGAAAAUCAUACAAAAAUAAAGGGAAAAAUAAUAAUUUAACAUAAAUGGUUCAAUGUUCAACAGCAAUCUAGAACAAGGGUAAAUCUGUCAAAGGACAAAAGAGAUAAAAUAUCUUCCCAGCUUUUUCUCCAUAAUUCCAAAAGACUCCCUUCAUCUGUUUGUUCCAACAUUUCUUCAUUCUUUGUUUUGACUACAGAUUUCUUUCCUAUUUUUUUUAGUUUUUGUAAUUUUCUGUGUAGGCUUCUUCUCGAUUUUCUUCGUAUUUGUCAAUUUUUAAGGAUUAAUUAUUGUGGAUUUAAUUAGUCGUUAUUGAAAAUCCCCCCGUCUAAUCGUGCAGAUUGAAUUUUUGAAAUUUUACUUGACAUGUAGUGUUGAAUUGAGGAUGUUAAAUUGGGUAUUUUCAGCUGUUUCUACCAGUUUUGAAGCUAUAGGUAGGGAUUUUAUCGCACCCUGUAAAUGUAGGGAUACAUCAAAGUAUGUUCACCGAGAAUGCCUUGAUCAGUGGUGUGCUGUUAAGGAAGGAUUUGCAUUUUCCCAUUGUACGACCUCCAAGGCUCCCUUUUACUUGAGAGUUAAUGAUCUUCAAAGAAAAUGGUGAACCUUAAAGUUUCGGUUCUUUGUGACCAGAGACAUUUUGUUCGUCUUUCUUGCAGUUCAGCUUGUUAUAGCUUUACUGGGUUAUUUAGUAUAUAAGAUUGAUACACACUAGAGAUUUUGGCUUCGUUUGCAUUGGGGGUUUGGUAGUGAACUGGGCUUCUAUUACAUAUGCGGUGAGGUCUUGGACUUCUGUGCGGAGGGUAUAAUACUUAAACUUAUUGAUUGGAUGAUUGUUGCUUCUGGGGGUGCUUAUGAUACAAAAAAUCUUCAGGAGUGCAUAGGAUCAACUGUUAUUGCUAUGGGACCAGAGAAACUGUUUGCGCUGUACCCAUCUCCCUGAAUACGAAGGAUUACUCUUUGUCAAACAGUUGGUUGAUUCCUGUUUUAAAUAAAUAUGUAUGUGGAUCAUCACUUCGGUUCUUUAUGAAGCAUGUGGUGCCACUUGCUGUGUCCUUCGAACAGGCAUCAUCAAAAGUUAAAAAAUUAGUAUUUGGAGAAGAACUGUAGGCUUAUGCCCGUGAGUGUUGGGGACUAUUACCUGCCUUUUGUCGCUGUCCAUCUGACCUUCACAAGAAGGCCCAAGCUUUGACUACACUUUUGAGUCCUUUUCUAAAGGAGAGCUCCUUUAUGCUCGAGAAUAUUUCUGCAGCUUUGCAGGAACUGGUGAAUAAGAAUAAAAAUGUACUUGCAUCUGAUACCUUAUCUAAAGAGCUUAUAGUCCACCAAACGGAGAAUGAAAAUCUUGAUUUGGUAUUGGAGUUCAAAUGCAAAUUCUCUUACUCAAAGAAGUCCGCUGGCAAAAAUAUUAAGGCUUUGGCUUCGUGCUCUGAGGAAUGGCUCAAGGCUUUAGUAAAUGUCUUUUUUUGAAUCAUCUCCUGCAAAGUACCAGCAGUUCAAGGAGUUACAACGUAUGAUGGCCUCGAAAGCUACCUCUAGCAGAGGUGUUACAGAUUCCUUAUAUGACGAUGACUCAAGCAGCACGUCCGAUGUCGAAACCAUGAAAGAAAGAUUUGCAAAGUUGUUGCUCGAGGACGAUGUGACCGGAGGAAGCGAGGGGGUUUCCACUGCAUUAGCAUUGUCCAACGCCAUUACAUAUCUUGCAGUUUAUGUGGCAGUUGUUUGGAUUAAGGCCGCCGUAAGUGUUAUGUAGAGGCUGCCAUACGUUACUUAUGGAUCAACGUGGGUCGACCAGUGUGAAAUGCUCCUGCUGUUAUACGGUGAACCUUGUCCCAGGUGGUUGGUUUUGGCUUUGACAUUUGGUUUUCAUCAUAGGCGGUUUCACAGCAACAACUACAUCCCCUAUUGUAGAAUUUAUAAAUAUUAUCUCUAGCAAUGUAAAUAGCCAACAAUUACUAUUAUAUGUAAAUGUGAACAUCUGGUAGUAUGUUAUUUUCAUGAUUGUAUAAAACAUACAUUUGAACUCAUUUUCAUUAACUGAUCCAACCAAAUGGAAUAGUCGGAAUA